AUGAAGAAAGGAAGUUCGGAAAGGAUAAGUACAAUGCCAAGGUCACACAGCAAGGUAACUGAUAAGGUUGACUGGGCUCUGCUGGGCAGCUCUUGCAUCGGGUGUCUAGAGAUGCAGCCAUCUGAAGACAUGACUAGGCUGGACGUCCAAGAAGGAUUACUUAUAUGGAUGGCACUUGAUGCGGGUUGUCAUCUGGGAGCUCAGUUGAGGCUGUUGACCUGACAGCCAACAUGUGGUCUCUCCAUGUGGUGUGAGCAUCUCACUGUAUGGUGAACAGAUUUUCAAAGAAAAUACCCCCAAAGAGAGCAUUCCAAGAGGUUCAGGAAGAAGUUUCAAGACUUCUUAUAACCUAGUAAUGGAAGUUCUAGGACAUCACUUCUACCAUAUUCUCUUGGUCAAGCAAGGCCAGGCUAGGUUCAAAGGGAGGGGAAAUAGAUUUUACUACCUAAUGAGAUAAGGGCAAGAUCACAGUGGAGAAGAGGUUGUAGGAUAGGAGGUAUUGGAGCAGCAAUUUUUGGAAACUACAGUCUGCCACAAAAAAGGCAAAAAGGUGGAUGAGAUUGAUCCCUUGGAAAAGCAGGGAGGAAAACCUUGUCAUUUCUGGUUCAGUUUUAUUCUGUCUGCCCCCAUCAUCUGUAGCUCUGUGUCAGUAGUGGAUGUGGCUUUAGUGUGGUGAUCCACAUCUUUAUUCACUGAGUACCCACUUAAAAACACUUCAGCCUCCACUCCAGGUGCAUGUUCCCAACCGCUUGACCAGACAUGGUCCCUCCUCACUUGGUUGCCAUUUGGGGCUUCUCCUCACUUGUCUUCUCCUCUGAUUUUUAAUGUUACUUCCAUAGAGCUCAGGAAUCAUCAAGACAUUCUUCCCCCUUCUCUGAGAAUUGGAGAGAGCUGGGGAUAAGAUCAGAGAUGCCCCCCAUUUUUACCUAAGCACAUUAUACCAUUGCCCAGAAUCCACAAGCCUCCUAAACUAAGAAAAAGUCAGAUGGGAACAGGCACCAUGAACUACAAGUGCAAAUGCCUAGAUCUUAAACGUCUUCUUUGUUGUUGGGGGAAGUCAGGGACCCCAAAUGGAGGGACCAGCUGAGGCCGUGGCAGAAGAAUGUGGAUUGUGAAGAUUUCAUGGACAUUUAUUACUUCCCCAAAUUAAUACUUUUAUAAUUUCUUAUGCCUGUCUUUACUGCAGUCUCUAAACAUAAAUUGUAAAGAUUUCAUGGACACUUAUCACUUCCCCAAUUAACACCCUUGUGAUUUCCUAUGCCUGUCUUUAAUCUCUUAAUCCUGUCAGCUGAGGAGGAUGUAUAUCGCCUCAGGACCCUGUAAUAAUUGCAUUAACUGCACAAAUUGUACAGCGUGUGUGUUUGAGCAAUAUGAAAUUUGGGCACCUUGAAAAAAGAACAGGAUAACAGCAAUGUUUAGGAAACAAGAGAGAUAACCUUAAACUCUGACCGGUGGUGAGCUGGGCGGAACAGAGCCAUAUUUCUCUUCUUUCAAAAGCAAAUGGGAGAAAUAUCACUGAAUUCUUUUUCUCAGCAUGGAAGAUCCCUGGGAAAGAGAACAUGCACCUGGAGGUAUAGGCUUAUAAAAAGCCCCCCCCCCCCCAAGUGCACCUGUCUCUUAUGGUCAAGACUGCAGGGGUGAAAUAGACCCCAGUCUCCCAUAGCACUCCUAGGCUUAUUAGGAAGAGGAAAUUCCCCCCUAAUAAAUUUUGGUCAGACCGGUUGAUCUCAAAAACCCUGUCUCCUGAUAAGAUGUUAUCAAUGACAAUGGUGCCUGAAACUUCAUUAGCAAUUUUAAUUUUGCCCCGGUUCUGUGGUCCUGUGAUCUUGCCCUGCCUCCACUUGCCUUGUGAUAUUACCUUGUAAAGUACUUGAUGUCUGUGACCCACACCUAUUCGCACACUCCCUCCCCUUUUGAAACUCCCUAAUAAAAACUUGCUGGUUUUUGCAGCUUGUGGGGCAUCAUGGAACCUACCGACAUGUGAUGUCUCCCCCGGACGCCCAGCUUUAAAAUUUCUCUCUUUUGUACUCUGUCCCUUUAUUUCUCAAGCUGGCCGACACUUAAGGAAAAUAGAAAAGAACCUACGUGAAUAUCGGGGCAGAUUCCCCGAUACUUUAUGACAUUUAUUACUUUUCUAUGGUAUGUAAAAAAUUGCCACAACACAUAUAUAUAUACCGUGGAAUACUAUGCAGCCAUAAAAAGAAUGAGAUCAUUUUUUUGCAAGGACAUGGAUGGAGCUAUAGGCCAUUAUCCUUAGCAAACUAACACAGGAACAGAAAACCAAAUACCUCAUGUUCUCACUUAUAAUUGGGAGUUAAAUGAUGAGAACACAUGGACACAUCAAUGGGAAAAACACACACUGGGGCCUUUUCGAGGGUGGAAGGUGAGAGGAGGGAGAGUAUCAGGAAACAACUAAUGGGUACUAGGCUUAACACCUGGGUGAUAAAAUCAUCUAUACGAUAAACCCCCAUGACACACAUUUACCUAUGUAACAAACCUGCACUUGUACCCCUAAACUUAAAAUAAAAGUGUAAAAAAUUGCCAAA